rnacentral:rRNA from 1 species
CGGCAAUGGAGGAAACUCUGACCGAGCAACGCCGCGUGAACGAUGAAGUAUUUCGGUAUGUAAAGUUCUUUUAUUAGGGAAGAAUAAAUGAUGGAAAAAUCAUUCUGACUGUACCUAAUGAAUAAGCCCCGGCUAACUAUGUGCCAGCAGCCGCGGUAAUACAUAGGGGGCAAGCGUUAUCCGGAAUUAUUGGGCGUAAAGGGUGCGUAGGCGGUUAAAUAAGUUUAUGGUCUAAGUUCAAUGCUCAACAUUGUGAUGCUAUAAAAACUGUUUAGCUAGAGUAAGAUAGAGGCAAGUGGAAUUCCAUGUGUAGUGGUAAAAUGCGUAAAUAUAUGGAGGAACACCAGUAGCGAAGGCGGCUUGCUGGGUCUUUACUGACGCUGAGGCACGAAAGCGUGGGGAGCAAACAGGAUUAGAUACCCUGGUAGUCCACGCCGUAAACGAUGAGUACUAAACGUUGGGUAAAACCAGUGUUGAAGUUAACACAUUAAGUACUCCGCCUGAGUAGUACGUACGCAAGUAUGAAACUUAAAGGAAUUGACGGGACUCCGCACAAGCGGUGGAUCAUGUUGUUUAAUUCGAAGGUACCCGAAAAACCUCACCAGGUCUUGACAUGCUUCUGCAAAGUUGUAGAAAUACAGUGGAGGUUAUCAGUUGCACAGGUGGUGCAUGGUUGUCGUCAGCUCGUGUCGUGAGAUGUUGGGUUAAGUCCCGCAACGAGCGCAACCCUUAAUGUUAGUUACCAGCACGUAAUGGUGGGGACUUUAGCAAGACUGCCAGUGAUAAAUUGGAGGAAGGUGGGGACGACGUCAAAUCAUCAUGCCCCUUAUGACCUGGGCUACAAACGUGAUACAAUGGCUGUUACAAAGGGUAGCUGAA